rnacentral:ncRNA from 1 species
AAUCCGCAUGACAGGUGUUCGUCCGGGGCUUGCAUUUGCACUUGUGCAUGUGUAAGACCCGGUCGUUCUGAGAUUAUACUGUCAAAACUUGAUCUAGAUAAUACUAGCGAAAGGACAUGCGUUGCAUUGAUU